CACAAUUUGGAUCAGAGCUCAGAGGAGAGGUCAGAGCUGGAGGGUUCAAGAACUUGUUAAUUUACCCAAGUUGGCCUUGAAUUUGCUGCCAUCCUGCCUUAGCCUCCAGGAGUGCUGAGAUUACAGGAGAGAAAAUUUUAAAGGGAUAACAGGAAAAAAUAGAGAACUAAAAGAAGAGAAAACAGCAAGGCUGAAGGGCAAAAGAAGAUUACUCAAGCCUUGGGAAACUGGUGAAGAAGACAGAAGGGAAAGAAAGAAGGAGAACACAGAACAAAACAAAACAAAAAACUAAAAACAAUGUUCAUACUCAUGAAAAACAAAAACAAACAAUAAAAAAACCCAACCAACCAAACAAAUAAAAAAAAAGAAAAAUUAUUAUCUGUGAUUUUAAGCCUGUGCUUUUCUUCUGGG
rnacentral:lncRNA from 1 species